AACGAACGCUGGCGGCAUGCCUAACACAUGCAAGUCGAACGAAGGCUUCGGCCUUAGUGGCGCACGGGUGCGUAACGCGUGGGAAUCUGCCCCUCGGUUCGGAAUAACAGUUAGAAAUGACUGCUAAUACCGGAUGAUGACUUCGGUCCAAAGAUUUAUCGCCGGGGGAUGAGCCCGCGUAAGAUUAGGUAGUUGGUGGGGUAAAGGCCUACCAAGCCGACGAUCUUUAGCUGGUCUGAGAGGAUGAUCAGCCACACUGGGACUGAGACACGGCCCAGACUCCUACGGGAGGCAGCAGUGGGGAAUAUUGGACAAUGGGCGAAAGCCUGAUCCAGCAAUGCCGCGUGAGUGAUGAGGGCCUUAGGGUUGUAAAGCUCUUUUACCAGGGAUGAUAAUGACAGUACCUGGAGAAUAAGCUCCGGCUAACUCCGUGCCAGCCGCCGCGGUAA
rnacentral:rRNA from 1 species